UAGGGAAUCUUCCACAAUGGACGCAAGUCUGAUGGAGCAACGCCGCGUGAGUGAAGAAGGUUUUCGGAUCGUAAAGCUCUGUUGUUGGUGAAGAAGGAUAGAGGUAGUAACUGGCCUUUAUUUGACGGUAAUCAACCAGAAAGUCACGGCUAACUACGUGCCAGCAGCCGCGGUAAUACGUAGGUGGCAAGCGUUGUCCGGAUUUAUUGGGCGUAAAGGGAACGCAGGCGGUCCUUUAAGUCUGAUGUGAAAGCCUUCGGCUUAACCGAAGAAUUGCAUUGGAAACUGGAGGACUUGAGUGCAGAAGAGGAGAGUGGAACUCCAUGUGUAGCGGUGGAAUGCGUAGAUAUAUGGAAGAACACCAGUGGCGAAGGCGGCUCUCUGGUCUGCAACUGACGCUGAGGCUCGAAAGCAUGGGUAGCGAACAG
rnacentral:rRNA from 1 species